rnacentral:rRNA from 1 species
GACGAACGCUGGCGGCGUGCUUAACACAUGCAAGUCGAACGGAAAGGCCCUGCUUUUGUGGGGUGCUCGAGUGGCGAACGGGUGAGUAACACGUGAGUAACCUGCCCUUGACUUUGGGAUAACUUCAGGAAACUGGGGCUAAUACCGGAUAGGAGCUCCUGCUGCAUGGUGGGGGUUGGAAAGUUUCGGCGGUUGGGGAUGGACUCGCGGCUUAUCAGCUUGUUGGUGGGGUAGUGGCCUACCAAGGCUUUGACGGGUAGCCGGCCUGAGAGGGUGACCGGCCACAAUGGGACUGAGAUACGGCGCAGACGCCUACGGGGGGCAGCAGUGGGGAAUAUUGCACAGUGGGCGGAGGCCUGAUGCAGCAGCGCCGCGGGCGGGAUGACGGCCUUCGGGGUGUAAACAGCUUUCGCCUGUGACGAAGCGGGAGUGACGGUAAUGGGUAAAGAAGCACCGGCUAACUACGUG